rnacentral:rRNA from 1 species
AAGUACUUGUACUUUGCUGACGAGUGGCGCACGGGUGAGUAAUAUAUAGGUAACGUGCCCCUUAGUCUGGGAUAGCCACUGGAAACGGUGAUUAAUACUAGAUAUUCCUUUCUAUUUGAUUUAGAUUGGGAAAGGUUUUUCGCUAAGGGAUCGGCCUAUAUUGUAUCAGUUAGUUGGUGAGGUAAGAGCUCACCAAGACGAUGACACAUAGCGGGUUUGAGAGGAUGAUCCGCCACACUGGUACUGAGACACGGACCAGACUCCUACGGGAGGCAGCAGUGAGGAAUAUUGCACAAUGGGGGAAACCCUGAUGCAGCAACGCCGCGUGGAGGAUGACGCAUUUCGGUGUGUAAACUCCUUUUAUAAGAGAAGAAAAUGACGGUAUCUUAUGAAU